GCCACUGUAGCUCAGUUGGUAGAGCACCGCUUUCGUAAAGCGGGGGUCGAGAGUUCGAGUCUCUCCAGCGGCU
rnacentral:tRNA from 1 species